GAUGAACGCUGGCGGCGUGCCUAAUACAUGCAAGUCGAGCGAACAGACGAGGAUCUUGCUCCUCUGACGUUAGCGGCGGACGGGUGAGUAACACGUGUAUAACCUCCCUAUAAGACUGGUAUAACUUCGGGACACCGGAUCUAAUCCCGUAUAAUCUCUUGCACCGCAUUGUUCAAUAGUGAAAGACGGUUUUGCUGUCACUUAUCGCUGGAUCCGCGCCGCAUUAGCUAGUUGGUAAGGUAACGGCUUACCAAGGCGACCAUGCGUAGCCGACCUGAGAGGGGGAUAGGCCACACUGGAACUGAGACACGGUCCAGACUCCUAAGGGAGGCAGCAGAAGGGAAUCGUCCGCAAUGGGCGAAAGCAUGACGGAGCAAGGGCGAGUGAGUGAUGAAGGUCUUCGGAGCGUAAAAAUCGGUUAUUAGGGAAGAACAAAUGUGUAAGUAACUAUGCACGGAUUGACGGUACCUAAUCAGAAAGCCACGGCUAACUACGUG
rnacentral:rRNA from 1 species